AAAACGGCCCUUCUCAGGGCCAUCAAAUUGUUGUAAUUUAUAAAUA
rnacentral:ncRNA from 1 species